AGUUUGAUCCUGGCUCAGAUUGAACGCUGGCGGCAGGCUUAACACAUGCAAGUCGAGCGGGGGAUGUUGCUUCGGUAACUGACCUAGCGGCGGACGGGUGAGUAAUGCUUAGGAAUCUGCCUAUUAGUGGGGGACAACAUUCCGAAAGGAAUGCUAAUACCGCAUACGCCCUACGGGGGAAAGCAGGGGAUCUUCGGACCUUGCGCUAAUAGAUGAGCCUAAGUCAGAUUAGCUAGUUGGUGGGGUAAAGGCCUACCAAGGCGACGAUCUGUAGCGGGUCUGAGAGGAUGAUCCGCCACACUGGGACUGAGACACGGCCCAGACUCCUACGGGAGGCAGCAGUGGGGAAUAUUGGACAAUGGGCGGAAGCCUGAUCCAGCCAUGCCGCGUGUGUGAAGAAGGCCUUUUGGUUGUAAAGCACUUUAAGCGAGGAGGAGGCUACCGAGACUAAUACUCUUGGAUAGUGGACGUUACUCGCAGAAUAAGCACCGGCUAACUCUGUGCCAGCAGCCGCGGUAAUACAGAGGGUGCGAGCGUUAAUCGGAUUUACUGGGCGUAAAGCGUGCGUAGGCGGCUUUUUAAGUCGGAUGUGAAAUCCCUGAGCUUAACUUAGGAAUUGCAUUCGAUACUGGGAAGCUAGAGUAUGGGAGAGGAUGGUAGAAUUCCAGGUGUAGCGGUGAAAUGCGUAGAGAUCUGGAGGAAUACCGAUGGCGAAGGCAGCCAUCUGGCCUAAUACUGACGCUGAGGUACGAAAGCAUGGGGAGCAAACAGGAUUAGAUACCCUGGUAGUCCAUGCCGUAAACGAUGUCUACUAGCCGUUGGGGCCUUUGAGGCUUUAGUGGCGCAGCUAACGCGAUAAGUAGACCGCCUGGGGAGUACGGUCGCAAGACUACCUCUAAAAUGAAUUGACG
rnacentral:rRNA from 1 species